UUUGCGUUUUCCAGCAUGCUUUAGAAAAGUGCUCCUGAGGAUGAAAUUAACCUCCAGUGCUGAAAUAACGGCAGUGAGCUACACAUUUCUAAAUCAGCUGCAGUCUGCUCUGGGCUUGAGCUCGGCCUCUGAUGUUAAACUGUCCUGGUCCAGACUCCCGUACCGCGUCGCUACAAACGAGAAGAAACCCACGAGGACUUGUGCUGGCAAACGUUAAACUGGAUCCACAGGCUGAGUCUUGGUUACACGAGUUAUUUAUAAUUCAUUGAUUUCUGCUAACAUUUUCAUUGCCUUGUUGUACAUGGUUCAUAUACGUGGUUCGAAACAUUCUGUAUAAAUACGCAAUAUUUGUUUACCUCUGUUACAAUACAGAGAUGUGUAUCUCAAAAUUAAAAUAUAUUAUUAUUAUGUGAUUUAUCACGCGUAUCGACAGCGUAGUCAAUCAAUCAAUCACUUUUCUUCAUC